rnacentral:rRNA from 1 species
UACGUAGGGUGCGAGCGUUGCCCGGAUUUAUUGGGCGUAAAGGGCGCGUAGGCGGUGAGAUGCGUCCGUUGUGAAAUCGCCCGGCUCAACUGGGCGGGGUCAGCGGAUACGGUCUCACUUGAGCAAGCUAGGGGGCAAUGGAAUUCCCGGUGUAGUGGUGGAAUGCGUAGAUAUCGUAAGGAAGACCAGUGGCGAAGGCGGGUCUCUGGACAGUUCCUGACGCUGAGGCGCGAAGGCCAGGGGAGCAAACGGG